AACCCACACCCCUCAACGAACAGCCGAUUUUAUUUACGCGUUUCUUUACGGUUGUAAAGUUGAGUUGCGGCGGAAGGAGGGGAAGGGGAAUGUUAAAACGGGAACGUUGUGAUUUUGCGGGGUUUUUUUUCGAGGACGCCUGCCUUUCCGGAGAUUGCCGAGUAGUGGUCGGAAGGAGCCGAGUCCGAGCCGCCAUUGCCCCGCUGUUCUGGUUGAGAAGGCCAAAUAGCGAAACGAGUGCCGCCGGUGGCAGAGAGUGACGCCUGAUACUGGCUACUCUUGCUUGUGAUUAACUGAGGUCCCAAUCAUGCUGCGAUUACCUGUGCUUCGCAAGGCAGUAACAGGCGUUUCCCAGUCUGCCAAAGAUAUCCUCGGAACAAAGAAUAAUGUUCGCACCACUGCUACAGCAGCGAGCAACCUGGUUGAAGUGUUUAUUGAUGGCAAGCAGGUGAUGGUGGAGCCUGGAACCACUGUUCUGCAGGUACAG